GACGAACGCUGGCGGCGUGCUUAACACAUGCAAGUCGAACGGAAAGGCCUCAGCUUGCUGGGGUACUCGAGUGGCGAACGGGUGAGUAACACGUGGGUGAUCUGCCUUGCACUCUGGGAUAAGCUUGGGAAACUGGGUCUAAUACCGGAUAUGAACUGCUGUUGGAGGGGGGGUGGGAAAGAUUUUUCGGUGCGAGAUGGGCUCGCGGCGUAUCAGCUGUUUGGGGGGGUAGUGUCCUACCAAGGCGUCGAGGGGUAGCCGGCCGGAGAGGGUGACCGGCCACAUGGGGACUGAGAGACGGCCCAGACUCCUACGGGAGGCAGCAGUGGGGAAGAUUGCACAAGGGGCGGAAGCCGAAUGCAGCAACGCCGCGUGCGGGAUGACGGCCUUCGGGUGGUAAACCGCUUUCGCCUGUGACGAAGCGUGAGUGACGGUAAUGGGUAAAGAAGCACCGGCUAACUACGUG
rnacentral:rRNA from 1 species